rnacentral:rRNA from 1 species
CGCAGCCGCGGUAAUUCCAGCUCCAAUAGCGUAUAUUAAAGUUGUUGCAGUUAAAAAGCUCGUAGUUGAAUUUCGGGGUUCUACCGUUGGUCGGGCUAUUGUCUGUACUGGCGUGUAGAAUUUCUACCUUCUGGGGAACUAUCAUGUUAUUAAUUUAGCGUGGUAAGAAACCAGGACCUUUACCUUGAAAAAAUUAGAGUGUUUAAAGCAGGCUUACGUCUGAAUACAUUAGCAUGGAAUAAUAAAAUAGGACGGUGGUCCUGUUUUGUUGGUUUCUGAAUCACCGUAAUGAUUAAUAGGGAUAGUUGGGGGCAUUAGUAUUCAAUUGUCAGAGGUGAAAUUCUUGGAUUUAUUGAAGACUAACUACUGCGAAAGCAUUUGCCAAGGAUGUUUUCAUUAAUCAAGAACGAAAGUUAGGGGAUCGAAGACGAUCAGAUACCGUCGUAGUCUUAACCAUAAACUAUGCCGACUAGGGAUCGGACGAUGUUAACUUUUCUUGACUCGUUCGGCGCCUUACGGG